rnacentral:rRNA from 1 species
UGGCGGACGGGUGAGUAAUGUCUGGGAAACGUGCCUGAUGGAGGGGGAUAACUACUGGAAACGGUAGCUAAUACCGCAUAACGUCGCAAGACCAAAGAGGGGACCUUCGGGCCUCUUGCCAUCGGAUGUGCCCAGAUGGGAUUAGCUAGUAGGUGGGGUAACGGCUCACCUAGGCGACGAUCCCUAGCUGGUCUGAGAGGAUGACCAGCCACACUGGAACUGAGACACGGUCCAG